CCUCCGCCGGUUUACAAGUACAAAUCGCCGCCACCUCCUCCGCCUUACUACUACAAAUCUCCGCCUCCGCCUCCUCCCUACAAGUAUGAAUCGCCGCCUCCGCCUCCCUACAAGUACGAGUCGCCGCCUCCACCACCGUACUACUACAAAUCACCUCCGCCGCCCCCAUACAAGUAUGAAUCGCCGCCGCCACCACCAUACAAGUAUGAAUCGCCGCCGCCACCACCAUACAAGUAUGAAUCGCCUCCUCCACCACCAUAUAAGUACGAAUCGCCACCGCCACCACCAUACAAGUACGAGUCGCCUCCUCCACCUCCGUACAAGUAUGAAUCGCCUCCUCCCCCACCAUACUACUACAAAUCACCACCACCACCUCCUUACAAGUAUGAAUCUCCCCCUCCACCUCCAUAUUACUACAAAUCUCCACCCCCGCCACCACCUUACUACUACAAAUCACCACCACCACCUUCUCCUGUCUACAAAUAUAAAUCUCCACCACCACCACCUUACAAGUACGAAUCUCCUCCUCCACCUCCAUACUAUUACAAGUCUCCACCACCACCGCCGUAUUACUACAAGUCUCCACCACCACCACCUCCAGUUUACAAAUACAAAUCUCCUCCUCCGCCACCAUAUUACUACAAAUCACCACCUCCUCCAUCACCAGUAUAUUACUACAAAUCUCCUCCUCCACCAGCGUAUUACUACAAAUCUCCCCCACCGCCUGUCUACUAUUACAAAUCCCCGCCACCUCCAGCUUACCACUACCAAUCGCCACCCCCACCAAGUUACAAGCUGGUAGUGGUCACGGGCAAGGUCUAUUGCAACAGAUGCUGGAACACCACAAGCAGAUACCUUCAGGCAUCACCACAUGGGUCUGCUAGGUACAUUCUCAAUUGCAUUGUAUUCGAUAUUGUUCUCCUCACUCAUUUCCUCUUGAUACUGUGUGCAAUAAUGCAGGUGGCAAAGUGAAGAUCACAUGUGGCGAAUCUUACUACUACGGCUACACCAACAAGCAUGGAAUCUUUAGAAUUGAGCUCCCGCACCAAUCCUGGGAAGAAGCAAGCAGCUGCAAGGCCAAGAUUAUCAAGAGCAGCUACAUCAAGUCGUCAUGCAAUGUCAUCACGGACUACAGGUCUGGUGCAACAGGGGCCAAGCUCAAGUUCAAAUCGAAAACAGAGAAGGAGCUCGUCUUGACAGCCGGUCCUUUCAUCUAUGCAACUCCAGAGCCAUCGUCAGUCUGCUUCUACACAUCACCUCCCUAUGAGUACAAGUCACCUCCGCCACCAACACCGGUCUACCAUUACGCCUCUCCGCCACCUCCGGUCUACUACUACAAAUCGCCACCUCCUCCUUCACCGGUUUACUACUACAAAUCCCCUCCUCCUCCUUCGCCGGUCUACUAUUACAAAUCCCCGCCUCCACCACCAUACUAUUACAAGUCCCCACCUCCACCUCCGCCUAAGUAUUACUACAAGUCGCCCCCACCACCGUCUCCAUACUAUUACAAAUCCCCGCCCCCUCCACCGUACUAUUACAAAUCCCCACCACCACCUCCCUACAAAUACGAAUCGCCGCCGCCUCCUCCUUACAAAUACGAGUCCCCACCUCCACCACCUUACUAUUACAAGUCCCCACCACCACCUCCAUACAAAUAUGAAUCCCCGCCACCUCCAGUCUACAAAUAUGAGUCUCCGCCACCCCCAGUUUACAAAUACAAGUCGCCACCACCACCAUACAAGUACGAGUCACCACCACCACCUCCAUACAAGUAUGAAUCCCCGCCACCUCCACCUUAUUACUACAAGUCCCCUCCACCACCACCAUACAAGUACGAGUCGCCACCACCUCCUCCGUACAAGUAUGAAUCUCCACCACCACCAGUUUACAAAUACAAGUCACCUCCGCCGCCACCUUAUUACUACAAAUCCCCACCGCCACCUCCAUACAAGUACGAGUCUCCACCUCCUCCUCCGUACAAGUAUGAAUCUCCACCACCACCACCUUAUUACUACAAAUCCCCCCCGCCACCUCCAUACAAGUACGAGUCACCGCCUCCUCCUCCGUACAAGUAUGAAUCUCCACCACCGCCAGUUUACAAAUACAAGUCACCCCCGCCACCACCUUAUUACUACAAAUCCCCGCCACCACCUCCAUACAAGUACGAGUCUCCACCUCCUCCUCCGUACAAGUAUGAAUCUCCACCACCACCUCCUUAUUACUACAAAUCCCCGCCGCCACCUCCCUACAAGUAUGAAUCCCCGCCACCACCUCCCUACAAAUACGAGUCACCUCCACCACCACCUUACUAUUACAAAUCUCCUCCACCGCCUCCAUACAAGUAUGAGUCGCCACCACCACCAGUCUACAAAUACGAGUCUCCGCCACCCCCAGUUUACAAAUACAAGUCGCCCCCUCCACCUUAUUACUACAAGUCUCCGCCACCCCCGCCAUACAAAUAUGAAUCCCCACCUCCACCUCCCUACAAGUAUGAAUCGCCUCCUCCUCCACCUUACUACUACAAGUCCCCUCCACCACCUCCCUACAAAUAUGAAUCCCCGCCACCACCUCCCUAUAAAUACGAGUCACCACCACCACCACCUUACUAUUACAAAUCUCCUCCACCGCCUCCAUACAAGUAUGAGUCGCCACCACCACCUCCCUACAAAUACGAGUCACCACCACCACCACCUUACAAGUAUGAAUCCCCACCUCCACCUCCGUACAAGUAUGAAUCACCUCCACCGCCUCCAUACAAGUAUGAAUCCCCUCCUCCACCUCCCUACAAAUACGAGUCACCACCCCCACCACCUUAUUACUACAAAUCGCCUCCGCCACCGGAGUAUCAAUCAC
rnacentral:lncRNA from 1 species